UUUUACGACUGUCUUAGAAUGGGUGAAUUUCCUUUGUUCAGGUAACAAAUUCUUGCAAGAAUUUCUCAAUUGAGUAUGAAUUAAUCCGGUGUGUUCAUGUUUUGGUCCUUGACCACCGUUUUUCCAGAAAAAUAGGGACUAGAAAUGAAUCUACGUUAAAAUACACUCAACUGACAAUCACAACACAUUACACAAAUUAUUUGACUGUACUGUUGUUAAGUCUCAGUGUCUAACCUUAAGUUAUUAGCAAAACAUUCUAAGGAGAAACUAUGUAGUAAUUUUCAUUGGAUUAUUAAACGUAUAUCUUACAAUAUUCGUUUCCCUAUUUGGUUCUAUAUUUAUAUUCGUUUUUUUUUGCCUGGAUGUAAAUACAAGUGAUAACAGAGAUUGACGAUAAAAAUUAGAAAAUAACACAAGUGCUAAUGGCAGUUUCUCUUUGUAUCCUUUCUCUUUUGAUUAUUACGAUCAAAUCGGCAAUCUUUACAUUCAAUACUUCACCUACAAUAAUCACCAAAACCAUCAACUUUCGAUCUGAACUGUAGAAGUUUUUGGAAAUCACUGCCGGAAUAAUUGACAGAGAAAAUAGUCAAGGAGAAACUUUCAUUUGUACUUGAGACCUUUUCUAAUGAUGAUCUAGAAUUCAUUUUUGCUUAAGCUCUAUUAAAAAGUGAUUCCUGAACUGUCUCAAACGGCUGCCUGCUGUCAGUGGUAUCAGUGUUUCUGCUUUAUACUUUCGUGGUUAAAUAUUUAACGUAGUUUAAAUAAUGAAAGACUCGGUCAAACAAAUUAACAUAAAUUUUGUAUUGAUUUACAUGCCGACGAUUGCAUAUCUUCGCUCAUAGGAUCGUUCCAUUUAUUCAAUUUAUCUACAACUUUCAAAACAAUUAGUCGCGGCCCGAUGGCAACGAUGCCCAUUGCACUUAGUUUUUCUGCAUCAAGAAACUUCAACGAUACAUCCGUGAAUUUAUUAUCUGGAAUAUAUUUUGGAAGAUUAAAUUGUAACUAAACUAGUAGAAAACAAUAUAUUGCAUGAAUGAACAUGAAUAUUUUUUAAUAAAUGUUUUAAAACUUCA